rnacentral:rRNA from 1 species
UACAGAGGGGGCAAGCGUUGUUCGGAAUUACUGGGCGUAAAGGGCGCGUAGGCGGCCUGUUAAGUCGAACGUGAAAUCCCCGGGCUCAACCCCGGGCCUGCAUUCGAUACGGGCAGACUAGAGUUCGGUAGGGGAGUCUGGAAUUCCUGGUGUAGCGGUGAAAUGCGCAGAUAUCAGGAGGAACACCGGUGGCGAAGGCGGGACUCUGGGCCGAUACUGACGCUGAGGAGCGAAAGCGUGGGGAGCAAACAGG